rnacentral:rRNA from 1 species
CAGCCGCGGUAAUACGUAGGUGGCAAGCGUUGUCCGGAAUUAUUGGGCGUAAAGCGCGCGCAGGCGGCUUCUUAAGUCCAUCUUAAAAGUGCGGGGCUUAACCCCGUGAUGGGAUGGAAACUGAGAGGCUGGAGUAUCGGAGAGGAAAGUGGAAUUCCUAGUGUAGCGGUGAAAUGCGUAGAGAUUAGGAAGAACACCGGUGGCGAAGGGCGACUUUCUGGACGACAACUGACGCUGAGGCGCGAAAGCGUGGGGAGCAA